rfam:Bacillus sp. FJAT-27916 Scaffold1, whole genome shotgun sequence.
GCUAUUGUGAGGUAGUGGCUGAAAGAAGCUGGACGCAAACUCCUGACGGACGAACAGAAACUAGAUACAAGGCUGGCUUAGGUCGGAUGAGCCUGCACAACAAGACGAAGUCCAAUACUGCCCGAAACCUAAUGGAGGAAAGUGUAAACUAGGCAUUCCAGCCGUUAUCGACCGAAUGCUUCAACA